rnacentral:rRNA from 1 species
UUGAACGCUGGCGGCAGGCCUAACACAUGCAAGUCGCGCGGAUGAAGGGAGCUUGCUCCUGGAUUCAGCGGCGGACGGGUGAGUAAUGCCUAGGAAUCUGCCUGGUAGUGGGGGAUAACGUCCGGAAACGGGCGCUAAUACCGCAUACGUCCUGAGGGAGAAAGUGGGGGAUCUUCGGACCUCACGCUAUCAGAUGAGCCUAGGUCGGAUUAGCUAGUUGGUGGGGUAAAGGCCUACCAAGGCGACGAUCCGUAACUGGUCUGAGAGGAUGAUCAGUCACACUGGAACUGAGACACGGUCCAGACUCCUACGGGAGGCAGCAGUGGGGAAUAUUGGACAAUGGGUGAAAGCCUGAUCCAGCCAUGCCGCGUGUGUGAAGAAGGUCUUCGGAUUGUAAAGCACUUUAAGUUGGGAGGAAGGGCAGUAAGUUAAUACCUUGCUGUUUUGACGUUACCAACAGAAUAAGCACCGGCUAACUUCGUG